rnacentral:rRNA from 1 species
GAUGAACGCUGGCGGCGUGCUUAACACAUGCAAGUCGAACGAACCUUCGGGUUAGUGGCGGACGGGUGAGUAACGCGUGAGAAUCUGCCCUCAGGAGGGGGAUAACGGCUGGAAACGGCCGCUAAUACCCCAUAUGCCGAGAGGUGAAAUGAAUUUCGCCUGAGGAUGAGCUCGCGUCUGAUUAGCUAGUUAGUGGGGUAAAGGCCUACCAAGGCUUCGAUCAGUAGCUGGUCUGAGAGGAUGAUCAGCCACACUGGGACUGAGACACGGCCCAGACUCCUACGGGAGGCAGCAGUGGGGAAUUUUCCGCAAUGGGCGAAAGCCUGACGGAGCAACGCCGCGUGAGGGAUGAAGGCCUCUGGGCUGUAAACCUCUUUUAUCAAGGAAGAAGAUCUGACGGUACUUGAUGAAUAAGCCACGGCUAAUUCCGUGCCAGCCGCCGCGGUAAUAC